UUGCCACUUGCAAGCAAGAAAUAGAAGUUUUGAAGUUGCGGAAACAACUGAAGGAACUUGAAGAAGAAAAUGAAAGUCUAAGCUCAAUACCGUAAUUAAGUGAAUAAAAUUAGCUACUCAGUUUAACUUUCAA